AGAGUUUGAUCCUGGCUCAGGACGAACGCUGGCGGCGUGCCUAAUACAUGCAAGUAGAACGCUGAAGGAGGAGCUUGCUUCUCCGGAUGAGUUGCGAACGGGUGAGUAACGCGUAGGUAACCUGCCUGGUAGCGGGGGAUAACUAUUGGAAACGAUAGCUAAUACCGCAUAACAGUAGAUAUCGCAUGAUAUCUGCUUGAAAGGUGCAAUUGCAUCACUACCAGAUGGACCUGCGUUGUAUUAGCUAGUUGGUGAGGUAACGGCUCACCAAGGCGACGAUACAUAGCCGACCUGAGAGGGUGAUCGGCCACACUGGGACUGAGACACGGCCCAGACUCCUACGGGAGGCAGCAGUAGGGAAUCUUCGGCAAUGGACGGAAGUCUGACCGAGCAACGCCGCGUGAGUGAAGAAGGUUUUCGGAUCGUAAAGCUCUGUUGUAAGAGAAGAACGAGUGUGAGAGUGGAAAGUUCACACUGUGACGGUAUCUUACCAGAAAGGGACGGCUAACUACGUGCCAGCAGCCGCGGUAAUACGUAGGUCCCGAGCGUUGUCCGGAUUUAUUGGGCGUAAAGCGAGCGCAGGCGGUUUGAUAAGUCUGAAGUUAAAGGCUGUGGCUCAACCAUAGUUCGCUUUGGAAACUGUCAAACUUGAGUGCAGAAGGGGAGAGUGGAAUUCCAUGUGUAGCGGUGAAAUGCGUAGAUAUAUGGAGGAACACCGGUGGCGAAAGCGGCUCUCUGGUCUGUAACUGACGCUGAGGCUCGAAAGCGUGGGGAGCGAACAGGAUUAGAUACCCUGGUAGUCCACGCCGUAAACGAUGAGUGCUAGGUGUUAGGUCCUUUCCGGGACUUAGUGCCGCAGCUAACGCAUUAAGCACUCCGCCUGGGGAGUACGACCGCAAGGUUGAAACUCAAAGGAAUUGACGGGGGCCCGCACAAGCGGUGGAGCAUGU
rnacentral:rRNA from 1 species